CUCCCUCUGUAAACAUAGCCUCCUCCAUUAAAACAUUUCCGCAAAGUGAUACUGAGUAACACACACACACACACACACACACACACACACACACACACACACACACACACACACACACACACACACACACCCUGUUCUCUAAAGAAACCAACACACCCUAUCAGAAAUGAUGGUCACGUUCAGAAUCAGCUCUACUUUCCUCCCAGUACAAUUGUCCCUGAUGGUCAUAAAAAUUAACUCUCUUGACUCAGGCUCCUAUUGCCUUUCUGAUGAUGUCCCUUGGUUUCAGCUUCCUUCUACUAGAUCAGAGCAGAGCAUCAAGAUGUUAGAGAUCUUCUGAUUAGUCCCAUUUCAAAAAGAAGAGUCAAUUCAAAUUACAGUCCUCUAUUGAGUCAGAUCAAAAUGGAAGCAUUAUUGCUUUGGCAGCUGUUCAAGAAUCCAUGUUUCCUUUUGAGAAGAGUGUUAUCUCUGGUUGGAUUUAUACCUAGCACUUCUGAGCAAGCUUUGUAUGCUUUACCUAAGUCUCCCUGGAAAUGUUUUAAGAUAAAUAAAUUUUCUACUAGAGACGUAAUCCAGUAAUGGCCUAUAGGAUUUCUGAGGUAUCAAAUUCAACUUGGAUAUAUAUAUUUUUUACCAGAGCACUGCUCAGCUCUGGUUUAUGGUGAAGCAGGGGAUUGAAACUAGAACUUUAGAGCCUCAGGCAGGAGUCUCUUUGCAUAACCAUUAUGCUAUCUCCCCUCUGCCCUGGAUAUAUCUUAUGAGAGGGUUCAGCGGAGGAGAGAUGGAUGUACUGAAAUGGACAGACAACAGGUUUAAAAAUCCACACAUCAGUACUGGCCUAUACAGUAAACACAGAAUGACAGAACAGAUAUAAGGUGUUUGGGGGAGGGGAUAUGUUCCCUCAUCCUGGGGUGAGGACUCAGAAGGACUUCAUCAAUCAAAAUGCAGAGACAUGAGAACAUGCUCAACGGGGUGCAGAACAAACCACCACCCAAAUCACAUCCCCAGUGAGGAUCAGAGAAGAGACCAGACACCAAUUUGCAGAUGCAACCAUGAUGCCAACCUGACUUCCCUGGGCACACAACCUCACCAAUGUAACCUGGAACCCCAUCUCUCUGGAGCCCUGACCCACUAGGGAAGGACACAUAAAGGCUGGGAGGAUGGUUCAACCUGUGAAUGCCCGUGUUCAGCAGGGAAGCAAUUUCACAAGCCCAACCUUCUACCUUCUGCCCCCCAUAUGACCCUGAGACCGUGUUCUCAGAGAGACAUAGAAUCGGAGCACUUUCAAGGGAGGGGAUGAGCUACAGAGUUCUGGGGUGGGAAUACACUGAAGCAGCGCUCCCCCAAAACAAACACAACAAUCCAUCUGGCUUCCUCUUUGCCCUUUGGAACUCCCGUCUGUGUCAUCUGCUUCAUUCAUUGCCACCAAGCCAGGUCUCUAGCUCCCUUCUCCUUCCCCACCACAUCACAGGGUUUGUUCUUUUUGCUCCAAGAAAAGGGACCAGGUCAGGCUAAGAUACUGCCAGUCCUGCUUAAAAAAGAAUGAGUCUGGCUGACCUGGAGUUUAAAUGGCAUAUAGAGACUAUCUAAUGCAACGUGCAGAACAGGACUCAAGGCUGAGAAGAGCAAUAGAACAAGUUAA